AAACCGUUGAAAGGGAAGCGAAUGGAGUUAGCAAUUCGCCCUGCCAGAUUCAGUUGUUCGCGCGUCGCGACGAGCGCGCUCUCGAUCCGCAUGGACGAGACGUGCCCGGACGCGACGCGCGAACGGCGCACUUCUGGCGGGCGAGCGUCAGCGUCGGUCGCCGACGAGCGAUAAGGUCGCGUGCAAGGUAAACGUACCCGUUAGGGCGCGUUGUUAAGACUCGCGUGCGCAUAGCUCGACGGCGACCGUGGCUUGUAUUCUCGACGACGCGUGCCUGGCUGGCGACUCGUGCGAUCGGUCYGGCAUGUCGACCGUGGCGGACGGCACGCCUGUGCGCUCGAACCGCUGCCGGUCGCUCGCACGAUGCUCGCACACAACGCGUCGAAGAUGCUGACGACCAUACGGCUCCAUCYGACCCGUCUUGAAACACGGACCAMGGAGUSUAACAYGUGCGCGAGUCUCCGGGUGAUCGAAACCCGUGGGCGCAAUGAAAGUAAAGGCCGUCCCCGUGACGGCUGAGGUGAGAAGCGCGCGUUCACACGCGCGCGCCGCAUCAUCGACCGACCUAUUCUGCUCUCAGAAAGGUUUGAGUAAGAGCGUAUCUGUUGGGACCCGAAA
rnacentral:rRNA from 1 species